UACGGAGGGGGCUAGCGUUGUUCGGAAUUACUGGGCGUAAAGCGCACGUAGGCGGCUUUGUAAGUUAGAGGUGAAAGCCCGGAGCUCAACUCCGGAAUUGCCUUUAAGACUGCAUCGCUCGAAUCAUGGAGAGGUGAGUGGAAUUCCGAGUGUAGAGGUGAAAUUCGUAGAUAUUCGGAGGAACACCAGUGGCGAAGGCGGCUCACUGGUCCAUUACUGACGCUGAGGUGCGAAAGCGUGGGGAGCAAACAGGG
rnacentral:rRNA from 1 species